rnacentral:rRNA from 1 species
UACGUAGGCAGCGAGCGUUGUUCGGAAUUACUGGGCGUAAAGAGUGUGUAGGCGGUGCUCCCAGUCUGUUGUGAAAUCUCCCGGCUUAACUGGGAGGGUGCAGCGGAAACUAGAGUGCUAGAGGGUGGGAGAGGUAAGCGGAAUUCCUGGUGUAGCGGUGAAAUGCGUAGAUAUCAGGAGGAACACCUGUGGUGUAGACAGCUUACUGGACCACUUCUGACGCUGAGACACGAAAGCGUGGGUAGCAAACA